rnacentral:lncRNA from 1 species
CUUCUCAGAAUGUUCUGAAUGCCACCAUAUUUUAUACCAGGUUUGGGAGAACCAAAGAUUUCAGGGAACUCUGAAUGUAAGAAUUUCAUUAGCUAUUAUAACCAUAAACAUAUUUCGAUAAAUAAAAGGUUUAUAGUAAUGUUCUAUUAUAGUUUGUAUAGCUAUAAAAACUUUUAAUUGUGCAGGCUGUUCAGCAAGACUUGGUCUACUCUACUGUGACUCAGCUCUUUCCUGUAUGUCUGCUAGAGAGAUGUUGAGGUGGUUUGAGGCCUGGCUGUGUUGUCUAUAGCUAGGUUAUAGAAACCUCAUACAAAUGGCCACACUUACAUUUCAAUUCUUGGUAAUCUAAGGACGUGAGGAUCUUACUAACGUGCCCAAACAAUGAAUAAUGUUAACAGUAUUUACAAAAUUAACACAUGCUAAGAGAACCUUGAUUGAAGAGUCUAGUAAGAGAUGUCUUUUUGAUUAAUUUUUCAGUUAUUUUCCCCAGUUUUAGUUAAACAAUUAAGGGCAGUUUUAGACCUAGUUUUGGACUUCACAACAUACUUAAUAUAGAUUCCCCCCCCCCCCCCCUUUGAUUGAUCACUAGGCUUAACCCUAUUACCUAUCUAGAACACCAUCCCAUAGUUUAACACCACUUUGAAAGUUUUUAUUCACAAUCACUGUGAACAAAUCUACCCUAGUUUUUGUAAAACUGAGCAUUUCACAUCAAACAUUCAUCUUUGGGGUUAGAUUAUGUAGUAAUGACAUUUAUCUUUUAAAAUGGAAUAUAGUUCUCCUGAUUGGCUAAGCUUAACAUUAACCUUAAACUAUCUAGCUGGCUAAAAACAUGUGCUUUGUGUAAUAUAGUGCAGGUAAUGCAUACUCCCUUCCAUCUAUUACCAGUAUUAGCAUGUUUGUUGUCUUGAGGGUGUUUUUCUUUCUUUUUUUUAUUUAUUUAUUAUGUUUCUGCUUGAUUUCAGGUUCUCUGAAUGUUCUGAAUGGCGCCAUAUUUUGUGCCAGGUUUGAGGGAACUAAAGACUUCGAAGUCUGGAUGUUCUCAGAAUGUUCUGAAUGUCACCAUUAGUUGUGCCAGGUGUGCUGAAACCAAAGUCUUGGGUGAAGUCUGGAUGUAAAAGGUUCUCAAUGUUCUGAAUGUCACCAUUUGUUGUGCCAGUUGGGAUGGAACUAAAGACAUUUGACGAUCUGGAUGAGAUCAGUGCCCUGAUGUUAUGCUGUUGGAUCUGCAAGAACAACUCUGUUAACUAAAAAUGUGAAAAGCUGUCAUUGUAUUUAUUCCUUAAUUGUAUUAAGUAUUAACCCAGUAAAAUAAUAUUUCUUUCAUGUUAAUUUGUUUGCAAAAAUGAAUAAAACUUU